GGAGGGGGCGCAUAACGGCUGGUGCGAAUGUUUGCUAAACAUUAGCGACGCAAGUUGCUAAGUGGGUUCGACUCCCACCCUCUCCG
rnacentral:tRNA from 1 species